CUCAGGUGGGCCAGACCGUAAUAUCAAUACUGAUACUGCCUAUUGGUAUCCCUCUCAAGGCCCUGGAAGGCACCGAAAGGCAAUGGGAAGCAGAAUACGUGCAUCUGAUUGAUCACUUCUAAUUUCUGAAGGGUCCCCUUGGACUGCAGCAUAGGAAUUGUCCUGGAUCGUGAUGAAGAUGAAGAGAAAUGAAGGGACAUAAAAGCUCAACACAACAGGCCUCGGUCAUGGGCUGGAUAUACGGAGGGGCUGUGGGGAAGGCUGUAAUGACUCCAAGGUUUCAGGCUUCUAUGUGACUGUUAUUCCCUAAACAGGCUGGGAGCUGAGGCGAGGUCUGGGACAAAGAGAGGCCGAAUGCUGCUGAUAGGUUCAUUGAGACGGAAAAAAAGGAAGCUUAAGGAAACAGGAUGUUCUCAGGCCUCUCAAUUUAUACUGUCUACAAUUAAGAUCGAUCACCAUGCAGGAUUUAUAUUACCUAUAGCACAUUAAGAGAACACCCGAGUGGCUGAGAAGUGGAAGGCCACGCCGUAGUUUCUUGGACAUGUGGCAGAUGGUUGUGUUGCCCCUUGGAGAUGACCUUCUAUAAGACAGGUAUAGUUCUGUGAGAAUCACUGGACUUGAACUACAAGCCUACUCAGCAGGAGUUAUACGUAGCGUCUGCAGAGGACAACUGCUGAUCUCUAGUCAGUGGACCAGUUUACCCUUUCUUUCUAGAGUAGCAGCCAAUUCUGUAGGGUCCAAAAGCACUAUGUCAGUAACUAAGUUUUACAGAUGGAGGAAUGGAUGGAUAGAUGACAAGAUAAAUUAUAAACGCAUAGAUCCUGGAAUAGAUCCCUUGAUGACUGGUUAAAGCAUCACUAGGUAAAAGAAGGUUCAGA